UCAUUUUCAGGUCAAUGAAUUCCUUCCUGUCGAAGGUCCUCAAGCUGAUAGAGAUGUGGUAGUCAAGCAAGUUUUGGAAGUUUGGGAUGAGCUGUACGCCUCAAUGUUUUCUAUGAAUGAAAAGCACAGUAAAGGUCCGGUGUUUCCUGCUGAUAUGAAUUCUCUUUGGGAGACCAUCAGUCAAGGCAAGAACAUGCUUCGGAUUUCGGCUAUCAUAGAAUUUGCCAAGGCGAACUUAGGAAUGCUUGUAUCGGUAAUGGAUUCUGUAUGGCAGAUCUUGAAAGGUAACCUGACCUU
rnacentral:sRNA from 1 species